AUUGAACGCUGGCGGCAUGCCUUACACAUGCAAGUCGAACGGCAGCGCGGGGCAACCUGGCGGCGAGUGGCGAACGGGUGAGUAAUAUAUCGGAACGUACCCUGGAGUGGGGGAUAACGUAGCGAAGGUUACGCUAAUACCGCAUACGAUCUAAGGAUGAGAGCAGGGGACCGCAAGGCCUUGUGCUCCUGGAGCGGCCGAUAUCUGAUUAGCUAGUUGGUAGGGAAAAGCCUACCAAGGCAUCGAUCAGUAGCUGGUCUGAGAGGACGACCAGCCACACUGGAACUGAGACACGGUCCAGACUCCUACGGGAGGCAGCAGUGGGGAAUUUUGGACAAUGGGCGCAAGCCUGAUCCAGCAAUGCCGCGUGAGUGAAGAAGGCCUCGG
rnacentral:rRNA from 1 species